ACAAGUUCCUGGGAUGAUUGCAGCAGGCUGCUGGGGUGUGGUGGCAGUUGCUGAAUUCCAAAAUGACUGAAUUAUUGCUGGUGGAUGUUUUCCUUCAAUCUACCCAAAGCAUGAGGACAGCAAAAUGAACUGCAGAUUUGCCUUGUCUAUACCCUCUUUGGUGAAGUGUCCAUUGUGCUUGUUAUUCCCAGCUGAGAGCUGUGUGGAUGCCUGGGUAGCAGUGGGUCUCUCCUCACCACCUUCUGGGCAACCACCCAUAAUUCUUCAUUCCUGUGGUGCCCAAAUGAAUGGAGACUAACCAGCUCUGUUUAGAGGCAUUUCCUGGCUUCCCACUGCUCACAAAGGCGUGGGCCCCGCCCUUGCCUGCUUCCCAUCACUGAGGCACCUGCCUCCACCAUGGAGGAGUCCUUGACCAGCAGCUCAUAGUGGACUUGGCAGUCUGCCCUGCACCAGGGAAAUGUGUGUCUUCUUCCUGAUGCUUGGUGUGAUUAAGACCAUGAGGGAGCAUAUUGAAAGUCUACAUCCAGCUGCAGCAAUUUGUCAGUCUUCAUUAUAGCAAGCUGUGUGGCAGCACCACUGGAGAAAAGGGUCAGUGUGGCUUCCAAUUAAAACUCCCUAUUGAAGAUGGAUUUAUGUUUGGUCUAUUUCAAACCACAUUGGGCUGCAACUUAUCAUCUAGGUUGUCAAGCUGGAAGCACUUUCCUUUUUUAGUGCAAAGGGUUUAAAAGCCAUUAAUUCGUUUUUGUUUAAGAUGUAAAGAUACAAACAAAUGAGUGUGUGUUU